CUUAAAUUUUUGAGUGGAAGCAGAAGGUUUUUUGGAAAACUUUGUAGAAGAGACCUAAUACUCAUUCUUUUUUUCUAUGUUCCUUAACAAAGUGCAGUAAGUCACAGCACUGUAUUGAUGUAUUGUGGCCCUGAAGGGUUCACAGGAUAGAAUACUUGACCCAAAUUCUUGGAUGAAGGAGAGAGCUUGGAAUAAAAAAAUAAAAUUUCCUGGGGAAAAGCAGAUAAAUAGUUUCAAUGUUGAAUGGGAGCAUAACACUGAGGUGGAGGCAAAACCAAAGUAGUAGCGCUGAGGGGAGAUAUAAAGGUUUAUCUAGGCUUGGAAAAAAGCGGGGUGGAGAUUGGGGUCGAAACAAAGACAUUUAAAGGGAAGUGGUGAGAAAGGGAUAUUGCUAUGGGUAUAGUAUAUACUACCUAAAAGAAAGUCUGAAAGGAAAGCUAACCUUAAAGCUAGACUGCACGUUUUUCCCCUCUAGGUUACAAAAUGAAGCUGUGGUUUUAAUUUCUUUUUGUUUUCUUUUCUGUCCUGUUCUUAAAUAAACAGGAGAAUCAAGAGUGGAUAGAAGGGAGCAUUAAAAUGCCAGCUGGAAGUGGCACUGCUGUGUGUUUGGCUAAGGCUUCACAAUAAGUUAACAGCGCUUUUGGAAGACCCGAAGUCACUCAUCCCGUAGCUACAUGCAUUUUUCUCAGCGCUAACCUUAACAUCACUGGGUAACAAGUUGAAUUGGAGAAAUGAUCACAGCUAAAGUAAAAGAAGUAGAAGAAACCAUUGAAGACCUGCUGCGGCGGCUGGAUGAAUUCUGCGGCAUGACGGACCAGAUUAGAAAUGAUACAUCCCAGAUCCUCGACGAGACCAUUCCGCUAGUUAAAGACAAGGUGAUGGAAAUGAACCACAUCUAUGCCAAAGUUGAUAAAUUAGAGGCAUUUGUAAAAAUGGUUGCACGCCAUGUUUCCUCCCUAGAAGAGCAAGUGCUUGAAGCAGAGAAGACUCAUGGCACCUUUCUUAAUAGUGUUUGCAGAUUAUUUCAAUGUGCGACUAUCUCUUCUUUGAAAAAUCUGGGCUAUGUCUCCUCCCUGUGAAGCACUGUGUCAGGCUGCUAGAAGUCACUGCCCACAGAUGUUCCACAAAGUGCCUGCAAAGCAGAGCCGACUCCUUCGUUCCGCUGGGCUGCUGAGGAGUGUCUCUGCUCUAGAGGAAGGGACUUUGAAGAAUACUGAGGAAGCCUUUCAGCUGCCAGCUCUGUCUCUAGCAUGCUGUUCUGUGUUCGCAAAUGAUUUAGAAAAGGAGGCAUACAAUGAGAUGAGAAAGCCUGUUGACACAGUUAUUUUGAGAUCACAGACAUGAAUGCCAACUGCAGAGAGCUGUAGACAGACCUUGCAAUGUUGAGAGACUCAGUGGAAAGGCUCAUAGCCAAAAUGAAACAUCAAUAAAUAUAAGAGACACCAUCCACCAGCAGCACGCUCCUAUGAUCUGCCUAAACUCUACAGAACUGAAGACUUUUUU